rnacentral:misc_RNA from 1 species
GGAAUUCUUGGGCUUCAGCUGAUAUGGCAUUUCCUACACUUUAUUGUUAGCUUAUAUUACUUUGUGAUUGGUAUUGCCACAACACUUGAAAGCCAUUUGAUAUCUUGGGGAUUCCUACGCAAGUACAAACAUCUUAAUAUAGACAGGCUCCAAUAUCUUGCGAUUGUGAUUGAAAGUGAUGAAGCUUAUAAUACCUUAAAAAUUAUUGAACUUCUGCAAUGGUUAGCAUCGUUGGGCAUUAGAAGCGUUU